rnacentral:rRNA from 1 species
AAUGUUUUCCGCGGUAAUUCCAGCACUAAUAGCAUAUUAUUGAUUUGUUGCAGUUCAAACGCUCGUAGUUAAACUGAGGAUGAAGUUCUUAUUUUAUGAUAUAAUGUGAUUGGUGGAAUAGCAAGUAUCAGAUUUAAAAAAAUAUCGAUUUUUUUUCUUCUAGAAUGUCUACUAUUUCUUGCCUCACAUUUGCAUAUUAUCUAAUAAGGCGGAAUCCAAAUCACGUUCUGUUUGCCUGGUCUGACUUUGAUUAGACGGAUCUGGGUGAACGGAACAACCUACCUUGAGCAAAUCAUACUGCUCAAAGCAGGUCUUCCCAUUUAGACACGCGCAUGAAACAGCAUGGGAUAACUUUUCUCCUUGAUAAGUUGGUUCUGUGUCUGAGGGGAAGGUGGUCAAAAGGGGUAGAAGGGGUCAGCCAAACUAUGGGGCGAGGGGUGAAAUCCAACCA